UCUCCCUUCCUUCCUCUUCAUCUCUCUCUUCCUUCCCUCCCUUGAUGCCUUCCCUCCCUCCCUCCUCCUUGCCCCCUCCUUCCUUUCUUCCUUUUUCUUUUCAUCACCCUUCCCCCUUUCCUGACUCCUCCCUUUUAGCCCACUUUCCCUAGCUUCUAUCUUCCCUUUAACAGUAUUUGUUGAACCCUGUACUGGAUGCCAGAUCCAGCAAAUCCAGCACCUUGGUAACUGAAGGACUGUAACUUAAAAAACAACAACAACAAAAAACUAAUGUGAUGAUAUGUAAAGGCCUCCAAGACCUUAAUUAAAACAACAUCAACAAAGUAUGGAGCAGAGUGUAUUAGAUCGCUUCAGCCAUCAUUGUCAGCAACAACCAAGUUGACAAUCCACGCUGUGAACCAGUUCUCCUGCUUGGGUGAUGUUGGGGUACUGGGGAACUCAUAGCUUCCUCAACAGAGAAGCUACACCAGGAGACAAACGCUGAGGAGGACCAGAUGAUGAAGGGCUGGGAGUCAGAAGCAAGAGUGGCUGGGCUGGAGAAUUGGAGUUGGCAUGGAUUCAGCAGACUAUGAACCCUCCUGAUGGGCUUGAUUUCAGGGUCUCAGAGAAACGAAGAGGGGAACAGAGGUUAACCAGUGACCUGGAAGAUUUCCAUAAAUGCCUGGAGCAAAAAAGAAGAAAUAUACUCUUCUGGUGUUUGCAGAUUGGCUCUAAGCUGGGUAACUCCUUCAAUGCUAUGCCAGGGAACUUCCAGACAAGUCAAAACACACCAUUACAACUUUUUGAGAGCAAGUUCUGUAUUGCCCUCCAGCUCCAGCAAGCCACACCAGGAAUGCAGACUGCCAUCCCCAUGGCUGCCACUGAGCUAGAGAAUGGGAGAUGAUAGGCAGGCCUCUGACCAAAUAGCCAAGCCACUCACGACUGCCCAUGCAUCCAUAUAAAGGCUAAUCUCAGGCUACUUCUCUUCCUGCACCAAUGGAAUGACCAGGCACACCACCCAAAGCUCUGCCAUUGGGAAGAUUUUCCCUCAUCUCUGUCUUUCAAGGCUGUAGAGGAGCAACAGUCCAUUUUUUGGUUUAUACCACGUCCUGAAAUGACCCAUCUGUGAACAAGCUUGGGCUUUUCGCUCUUCCAUCAUCUGGUCAAGAGUCUUCUCCAACCAUGAAGGCGUUGGUGGCAGCUGAAGGAGAAGAACCAGUGCAACAGUGGUGGAUCACAUGAAAGCGUGGGCUACCCAGUCAUGCAACUUCCUGUGCUUUCAGACCUUGCUUGUUCCUGAUCCUAGAUGUUCCACUUCUAUCAUAUAAUAAAUUGCUCUCGGG